rnacentral:sRNA from 1 species
UGGGAAGGAUUAGAAAAGUUAGUUUUCCUUCCAAUUCUGAAUUCACAGUAGAAUAAUUUUUUGGUAUUUAAGCAUUUUUGAUUGAUUGAUUGAUUGAUUGAUUGUGUGUGUGUGUGUGUGUGUGUGUGUGUUUUACUGGGGAGUGAACUUGGGGCACUCUACCCCAGAGCUACAUCCCCAG